ensembl:lncRNA
AUGGGAUGCUCUCGACCCAGCAGAGGUUUGUGUUGGCACACACACACCGUGUGCAGGAGGAACAGGCAAGUUAAAGGCAGUGAUCUGUCACCUUCAGGUGUUGGAAACCUGACGGCUGCAGGGCCCGAGCACCCGCAGAUGUGCAGUUACACACACUGCUCCUGUCCUGCAGCCUCCUCCAAGAGACAAGCACGUGGAGAAGAGCAUGGAAGGCGGCUGGAUCUGCCUUGCAGCUGCCACAAGCGCUUCCAGAGGAGAGGCAGCAAACAAGGACCGGGGCCAGCACCCCUCGCAGGUCCUGAAGCCUUCUAUCCUGCCCUUCCCCACGGCCAAGGAGUGGAAGCAGACACCAGGCGGGCUCUGUGUGUGGCCGUGGGGAGCCCGUGUGGCUGCUGGAACCGGUGUGGAGCCGGGAGCUGUGUGCACAGAGGCAACUUACCGCGGGCACCUGGGGCACACGGUGCAGAUGUCCCAGGCAGUGCUGGAGAAUGGACUCGCAGUGCAAGUAACUGUGACAGUGCAACGGGACCCAAUUACUCAAUGCACGCUAGUUGAGGGCUUUCUUCAGAAAAGGCAAGUAAAAUUGCAAUUACUGUAUCAUUUAAAGGCAGGCGCAGGACAAAACAUGCUGAGAGCUUUUGUUUUGUUUUGUUUUAAAUAGAGAAUCCCAGGGACAAGAAAGCUACUGGAAACUCGCGGGCUUUACCUGCUGCUCCACCUGCAGCACUCCUUCCUCUGCUGAGCCGGGUCAAGCCCUGCCUGCCCCCCUGGUGCUGCUGCUCAGAGCCAGCUCUUGCUUCCCCCAUGCCCUGCUGGUGCAAGGACAUGCUGAGGACAAGGCUCCAGGCUGUCCUCCACCCUCCUGACCCUGCAGAGACCAGGACCCAGUGCGGCUGCUCCCAGACAGGACAGGAGCAGGGCCGCAGGCUCUCAUCUCCUCAUAACCACAGCCUGGCCCCAGUGCUCCUGGCUCUCUGGCAGCCAAAAGCUUUUCGCUCGCUCCUUGGCACCAUUCAUCACUCCCAACAGGGCAGCGGCUCGUGCUGGGAGCCUCGUUGUCCUCGAGUAGGCUCGUCCCUCUGCAGGUAGCCUCUGGCUCCUGUCGGAGGAGGAGUGAGGACGCAGAGGAUGCCCUGCCUGCUCUCCUGGCUCCCUGUCCCGUGCCAGGGGACAGGCACCAGCCCGGUGUGACAGCGCGGCCUUGCGUGUCCUCUGCACGACAACUACCGCGGGGAUGCAAUACGGGGGCUUGAGACGCAGCACCUAUGCCCCCCAGAGGGGCUGCCAGCGGCUCGCAGGGCUGCCAGGGGGCCUCUGGGAUGAGCGAGACUCUUGGGGACGAGACGAGGGCACGGCACCCUGAGGCGGGGGCUGCUCCUUGCAGGGCCUGGCCUAGUCCUGGGGCGGGGGGGUGGCAUGGCCCCUCGGGCCGCCAGGAGAGGGUUAACCCCGAGGCAAUGCCACGCUCCCGGCUCACCGCCCUCCCGCUGCCAGUGGCAUGGCUGAAUGGGGAAUUAGCUGUGCCGGUGCUGAGAGCUCUUAAUUAGCCAUUCUU